GAAAUGAAGGAGGAAAUCUCUUUAUAAAGGUUUCUAAAGAAAUUAAAAAAAUUAACUUGUACAUUGACUUUGUAAUGGAAGUGAGAACAUACAGGAAAGCCCUUUGGGGAGUUAGCUUUAGAAGGGAAAUACCGGGAAAUACAAGUAAGACAAGGCACUUACAGAAAAAGUAGAAAUUUCAUGUUUAAUAAAUGGUCAAAUUUAACAUAGCUCUGAAUAUAUAAUUUUCCAUUAGAAUAUUGGUAACAACAUUGCAGUAAACUUGAGUCUGGGUACCCCGCACUGAGUAAAAAUGGUAGAUUCUAUUUUGUGUGAGUUCAGUCAAAGAGACAUGGGGGACAAUUAGUCCGGUCUCUGCUUCUGUUGUUUAGCAGAGCCUCCAGCCCGGAAGCACACUGAGAUGUCUUGUGUUUUUCAGAUCUUUAAUUUUUGAAUGCUGUACUGUACCCAAGGACCUCGCUUUUUUUCACUGUGCAUAUGCAUGAUGUGGGACAUCCCAUAUUGGAGACACAGAUGACUUAUUGAAAGCCCUGCCUAAGACUUAAUUAAUAUCAGCAUUUCAAGUAGCUUGCAAGAUUGGAUUCUGUGGCUAUAUACUAUAGGAAUAUAGACUUCCUGGUCUUUUUCUUACUGCCUCCAAAUAUAACCAGAUAAUCCUCUGUCUGGUUUCUUGGGAGCCACUUGUAUCUUACUUUCUUGCAGGAACAUUCUAAAGGGUUCCUUCAGAAAACUUGGGAAAGUGUAAGACUAAAGACAAACCACAGCCUGAAGCCUAGGCUGCUGACUUGAGCACAGAUGGGAGAAUGUUAACAGCCAAGAAAUAUGAGGUCUUUGGCUCUUUUCCCAGAACUGCCAGGCUAAGACCUUGGCAGAGACUCAACAGGAAACUGAACUCUAUUUGCAUAUCCUUUUAUACAUGGGAGAUUAAAAGCUUCAACCUUGAGUGAUCACAGUUUUUGAGAAUCAUGAUGAGGCAUUAAAGAAGAGGAGGAGUGUCUCAAGGGAGGUGAGCUGGAGGUGAUGCAAGCCUCAGACUCAGGGCUGGGACCCUUGGGACUCAAAAGAGAGAAAAGGUGGAGAAAAGAGAAAGCUACUAUUUUCUUCAUUUUGCCCCUGCUAACAUCCAAUGCACUUAGGAGCCUCGAUGUCUGCUCUCCAAGAGUGGAGAGAGGAUGCCAGACAGAUAUUUGAGCAGAACAAAGAGAGCCAACAGGAUGAAGGCAUUCCCUGGCUGGUUGGACAAGCAACUGAAGAACAGGAACAGAAGUGAAUGAAAAGAGAAGAUGCUGUGUUUGUGUUUUCUCUUGGUUAGAAUGCUGUGAGUCAGGACCUUAGCUGCUGGGUGUCCUGGGACUGCCUUCGAUGAAGAACCUGAGGCUCACCUUGCUUAAGUGACUUGAGCAGCUUCACGCAUCUUAGAAAACUGCAAAUUGGAACAGCAGAGCUGUGCCUCUGGCCAUUUCCUGGAACUACAGAGGAGCAACUUGCCCCGGUUUCCAGUGGGUGAUGUUCCUCUUCUGCCACAGUCCCUGGCGAUGUUGAUGUGAUUGCCAUCAGAGCUCAGAAGCACAGAGCAGAAUCAUCCCCUGGAGGAGGAUUCCCUUCAGUGUAAGAAGUUCUUACAGAAUUAAUCCUCAAAGACUGUGGGUGGACUCUGCCAGGUUUUUCCCCGGGUGUACCAGAAGAGAGGAAGAGCCCUCAAAUACAGGAAAGUGCUCUUUUCAGUGACAGUAGUUCUUUUGGGCCCUGUGGCUAAGUGUGCUCCCACCCCAGCAGUAAGAUCACAGCUAAUCCUGAGAGGCAAGAGCUCACACCAGGCUACUGAAAGAAAAAGUGUCCUUUGUGGAUUGCAAGAGGAACUGGGACACACUGCUGGAAAUGAAGUGGCAGGUCAUAAACUAUCAUAAACUCAGGAGGAGAGGUGUUCCUUUUUGAGACACUCAUCACAACUAGAGAGAAUGCAGCUAAGAAAAUGCAGUCUUUAGGGGGACCUGGACUGUUGAAGUAUUUGAGCUAUUCGGAGGAAAUAGAAACUUGGAAGAGAUCUUUGUUCCACUAUUAUUUGGCAGCCCCUUACCCGCAGCUGCCAUUACUCCAGAUUCUCUCUGAUGAUCCUGCAUCAGGAGAAUGAGUUGACUGGGCACCACUGGGAAAUGUGGGCAGCUCCAGGCUGAACUAGAGAAGGGGCAUGUCAAAGGUCACUUAUUUGUGGCUUGACCCUUUGGAGGCCAGAUGUAAGAAUCAAUUUCUCACAGGUCCCAUGCUAACGCUUUUCAUAUUUAUUUCCAUCUGAGACUCACUUAGGCUAGGCAAAUAUCCCAUGGGUCUGUACCUCUCCAGUGCUUUCUUGCUCAUGUAAAAUUAGCUCAUUGGAAUGAAUAAAGAGAAUGGUAUUACUUUGGCUCGAACACGAAUGAGCACUUUCACUUUGUCAUAGUGUAAAUAUUAAAGUUGUAAGAGACAGCCCAGGGACCAACUAUUUUUUUUUUAAAGAUCCAAGUGCUUGCAUAGUUUCUAAAAUUCUACACCGGGGAACUAUAUCCUCAUUCAGCACUGAGACUCCUUGGUUCCCUAAAACCAAAGUCUCCAGGUGCCUUCAGGGGCCAACCAAGAUGGAGCUCCUUAUAGACCCAUGCAAUGUCAGAACUGGAAAACUUAGAAAUCUUUCAGUCCACCCAUCAUUUUAUGGGUGGCAAACUGAGAUCCAGAGAAUGCUCAAAUCUCAUAAUUAGCUAUGAAAGGUUAUGAUUAAAAUGCAAAUUUGGGGCCUCCAAUUUGGUCCUCUUUUCACUCUCCUUCUUGCUGGGGAAAGAACAGUGAUUCCUUGAUUGGCAGAGCAGAAAAUAUCUUCAGUUUUUAGGAUGACUUUAUUCCCCUAAAGAGUAUCUUUGUCACAUCUCCUCCUUGUCCAUUUUUAGAGACUCUACAGUGUUUAGCUACUGGUAGAUUUGUUCUAGUGGAUCUGGUACAAAUCUUAUAGAAAUAUCUACAAUUAUUCCAUGUUAUUCUGAAAUUAUUCAUACAGCAUUUCUUCUGUUUUAUUAGCCAUUUUUAAGGGAGAAGGAACCUAAGAUUAAUUGCUAUGGCUACAUGUCAUGCUCACCAAUGAACUCACCUCAUUUUAAUCCUCAUGAUCUAUUAUAGUAGGAAUGCUUGUUGUACAUAAGUAUUCAGGAUUACUGAAUCCACUUGAAUUUUUUGAGGACAGUGGCCAAAUACAAUUCUGUGGUCAAUUUAGGCUGCUCCUACUGUUCCCUGAUGUUAGGCAUUUUCUUCCACUAGGUCCUCUGGAAGGAUGAAAAACAAGGCAUUAUUAUACUUUUGAAUAAAAAUGGUUUGCCAAACAGAUUAUGUUUGUAGUUUGUGCUGUUGAACAGAAAUAAUAAAGAACUCUACUUGAAGUCUGAAACAAAUUCAGGAAAAAAUUAAAGGCAGUUUUAUUUUACAUAGUAGGGAGUAGAUUUUAGGAACUCCUUGCUCCUGGGGUAGAGCAUAUGAAUGUGUAUUCUAGAGAGAUUCAGACAAAUUCACUUAUGUUAGACAAAUGACUUUAAGGGAAACUAGGAAUGUUUUCAGGGCACAUAACCUUGUAUUUAAAAGAUACUGUUAUUAGAUCAUUUUUUCUCAUUAUAAAAAUAUGUUUUCAUUGAAGAAGAAAUUGUGGUUUACAUACAAUUAUAAAAAGAA
rnacentral:lncRNA from 1 species